rnacentral:piRNA from 1 species
UGUGAGACUGAGCUGUGGAAGGAACAGCAUC